AUGAACGCUGGCGGCGUGCCUAAUACAUGCAAGUCGAACGGUGUAUAUGAGCAAUCGUAUACAUAGUGGCGAACGGGUGAGUAACGCGUUGGUGACCUGCCCCGAAGCGGGGGACAACAGCUCGAAAGGGCUGCUAAUACCCCAUACAGUUGCGAGAGAUUAGAAACUUGCAACGAAAGGAGUAAUCCACUUUGGGAGGGGCCUGCGUCCCAUCAGCUAGUUGGUAGGGUAACGGCCUACCAAGGCGUAGACGGGUAGGGGACCUGAGAGGGUGGCCCCCCACAAUGGAACUGAAACACGGUCCAUACACCUACGGGUGGCAGCAGUAGGGAAUAUUGCACCAUGGGCGAAAGCCUGAUGCAGCAACGCCGCGUGAGUGAAGAAGGCCUUCGGGUCGUAAAACUCUUUUCAAGGGAAAGAGGAAGGACGGUACCCUUGGAAUAAGCAUCGGCUAACUACGU
rnacentral:rRNA from 1 species